UGGGGAAUAUUGCACAAUGGGCGCAAGCCUGAUGCAGCCAUGCCGCGUGUAUGAAGAAGGCCUUCGGGUUGUAAAGUACUUUCAGUCGGGAGGAAGGUGUCAAGGUUAAUAACCUUGGCAAUUGACGUUACCGACAGAAGAAGCACCGGCUAACUCCGUGCCAGCAGACGCGGUAAUACGGAGGGUGCAAGCGUUAAUCGGAAUUACUGGGCGUAAAGCGCACGCAGGCGGUUGAUUGAGUCAGAUGUGAAAUCCCCGGGCUUAACCCGGGAAUUGCAUCUGAUACUGGUCAGCUAGAGUCUUGUAGAGGGGGGUAGAAUUCCAUGUGUAGCGAUGAAAUGCGUAGAGAUGUGGAGGAAUACCGGUGGCGAAGGCGGCCCCCUGGACAAAGACUGACGCUCAGGUGCGAAAGCGUGGGGAGCAAACAGG
rnacentral:rRNA from 1 species